rnacentral:lncRNA from 1 species
GAACUGGUAUCAUCAGGAGAGAGGAGGGUAGAGACUAUAGACUGGUAUAAUCAGGAAGGUAGAGACUAUAGACUGGUAUCAUCAGGAGGGUAGAGACUAUAGACUGGUAUCAUCAGGAGAGAGGAGGGUAGAGACAAUAGACGGGUAUCAUCAGGAGGGUAAGACUAUGAUGGUAUCAAGGAGAGUAGAGACUAUAGACUGGUAUCAUCAGGAGGGUAGACUAUAGACUGGUAUCAUCAGGAGGGUAGACUAUCGACUGGUAUCAUCAGGAGAGAGGAGAGUAGAGACUAUAGACUGGUAUCAUCAGGAGAGAGGAGGGUAGAGACUAUAGACUGGUAUCAUCAGGAGGGUAGAGACUAUAGACUGGUAUCAUCAGAGAGAGGAGGUAGAGACUAUAGACUGGUACAUCAGGAGGGUAGAGACUAUAGACUGGUAUCAUCAGGAG